rnacentral:rRNA from 1 species
AUUGAACGCUGGCGGCAUGCUUUACACAUGCAAGUCGAACGGUAACAGGCCGCAAGGUGCUGACGAGUGGCGAACGGGUGAGUAAUGCAUCGGAACGUGCCCAGUCGUGGGGAUAACGCAGCGAAAGCUGCGCUAAUACCGCAUACGAUCUAUGGAUGAAAGCGGGGGACCGUAAGGCCUCGCGCGAGUGGAGCGGCCGAUGUCAGAUUAGGUAGUUGGUGGGGUAAAGGCUCACCAAGCCAACGAUCUGUAGCUGGUCUGAGAGGACGACCAGCCACACUGGGACUGAGACACGGCCCAGACUCCUACGGGAGGCAGCAGUGGGGAAUUUUGGACAAUGGGCGCAAGCCUGAUCCAGCAAUGCCGCGUGCAGGAAGAAGGCCUUCGGGUUGUAAACUGCUUUUGUACGGAACGAAACGGUCCUGGUUAAUACCUGGGGCUAAUGACGGUACCGUAAGAAUAAGCACCGGCUAACUACGUGCCAGCCGCCGCAGUAAAAC